rnacentral:rRNA from 1 species
GAUGGACGCUGGCGGCGUGCCUAAUACAUGCAAGUCGAGCGAACAGACGAGGAGCUUGCUCCUCUGACGUUAGCGGCGGACGGGUGAGUAACACGUGAAUAACCUACCUAUAAGACUGGGAUAACUUCGGGAAACCGGAGCUAAUACCGGAUAAUAUAUUGAACCGCAUGGUUCAAUAGUGAAAGACGGUUUUGCUGUCACUUAUAGAUGGAUCCGCGCCGCAUUAGCUAGUUGGUAAGGUAACGGCUUACCAAGGCGACGAUGCGUAGCCGACCUGAGAGGGUGAUCGGCCACACUGGAACUGAGACACGGUCCAGACUCCUACGGGAGGCAGCAGUAGGGAAUCUUCCGCAAUGGGCGAAAGCCUGACGGAGCAACGCCGCGUGAGUGAUGAAGGUCUUCGGAUCGUAAAACUCUGUUAUUAGGGAAGAACAAAUGUGUAAGUAACUAUGCACGUCUUGACGGUACCUAAUCAGAAAGCCACGGCUAACUACGUG